CUUUAAAUGUGCAAUUGAGGAGUUGACCUACUAGGGAUAUCUGAUGAGGUUCUACAAGCCAAGCUGCUGAUGGCAGAGGAUAGCUUCAUUACAGUGUGAUAACAGCCUAAUUCUGCUGCUUAUUAUAUGGCAAUAUAAGGAGUAAUUCCACUUUUGUCUUCUUAGAAUGCAUUUCUUGACUAUAGUCAAUUUGACCUUCAUAGCCAGGACCAAGUGAAGCAAGUUUUAAAAUAAGUGGAUAAUGGAAAACAAGCCUUUAUUUGGUGAAUUUUAAUAUAUUCUGCUUACAAAUCACUAGUAAAUAACUUUUAGAGCAAAGCUUCUUACAAAAUGCUUUAGUCUUAUUAUCAUUCAAAUAAUCAACUGCAUAUUCCUACUAGUUAUUGGUACCUAUGCCUAUUGGAUUUCUCCAUUUUUCUUUCAUCUUUAUCUUGGAUCUUGAUCUUCUUGAAUCUUAGCCAAGAACAUGCUCAAAGAACUCUAAACUCAAAGAAAAUUCAACGUGUGAUUUAAGAGGAAAGCCUUUCAUUUUCAUUUUGUUUCAUUGUAAACAAAUUCCUUUGACUAUAUGAGAUUUUUUUCUAACAGAAAUAAAUGAAAUUUGGAGAAAAGUAUUUUGGUGGUAGUUUGAGCAUUUUCCUUUAACCAAAGCAAAAACCAGAGUUUGUUUUGCUUUUGAAAAUAGACAUCUAUAGAUAAUUCUUCUAUAGUGUAAAGCAAAGUCUAAUUUUCAUGAAAUUCUAUUUGUUAGUCAAAUUAUCCCAUUCAGCCC
rnacentral:lncRNA from 1 species